rnacentral:rRNA from 1 species
AGAGUUUGAUCCUGGCUCAGAACGAACGCUGGCGGCAGGCUUAACACAUGCAAAGUCGAGCGCCCCCGCAAAGGGGGAGCGGCAGACGGGUGAGUAACACGUGGGAAACUACCCUUUGGUACGGAACAACUCCGGGAAACUGGAGCUAAUACCGUAUGAGCCCUUCGGGGAAAGAUUUAUCGCCAUAGGAUGUGCCCGCGUCGGAUUAGCUAGUUGGUGUGGUAAUGGCGCACCAAGGCGACGAUCCGUAGCUGGUCUGAGAGGAUGAUCAGCCACAUUGGGACUGAGACACGGCCCAAACUCCUACGGGAGGCAGCAGUGGGGAAUAUUGGACAAUGGGCGCAAGCCUGAUCCAGCCAUGCCGCGUGAGUGAUGAAGGCCYUAGGGUUGUAAAGCUCUUUUCACCCACGACGAUAAUGACGGUAGUGGGAGAAGAAGCCCGGCUAACUUCGUGCCAGCAGCCGCGGUAAUA